rnacentral:rRNA from 1 species
UACGGAAGGCAGCAGUGGGGAAUAUUGCACAAUGGGCGCAAGCCUGAUGCAGCCAUGCCGCGUGUAUGAAGAAGGCCUUCGGGUUGUAAAGUACUUUCAGUCGUGAGGAAGGUGUUAAGGUUAAUAACCUUAGCAAUUGACGUUAGCGACAGAAGAAGCACCGGCUAACUCCGUGCCAGCAGCCGCGGUAAUACGGAGGGUGCGAGCGUUAAUCGGAAUUACUGGGCGUAAAGGGCACGCAGGCGGUUAAUUAAGUUGGAUGUGAAAUCCCCGGGCUUAACCUGGGAAUGGCAUUCAAGACUGGUUAGCUAGAGUCUUGUAGAGGGGGUUAGAAUUCCAUGUGUAGCGGUGAAAUGCGUAGAGAUGUGGAGGAAUACCGGUGGCGAAGGCGGCCCCUGGACAAAGGACUGACGCUCAUGUGCGAAAGCGUGGGGAGCGAAACAGGGAUUAGAUACC